rnacentral:tRNA from 1 species
GUUUUAGUAGUUUAACAGAAAAUAUUGAUUUUGUAAAUCAAAGAUAAAUAAUUCUAAAACA